rnacentral:rRNA from 1 species
UACGUAGGGUGCGAGCGUUAAUCGGAAUUACUGGGCGUAAAGCGUGCGCAGGCGGUUGGUUAAGUCUGAUGUGAAAGCCCCGGGCUCAACUUGGGAACUGCAUUGGAAACUGGCCAGCUGGAGUGUGGCAGAGGGGGGUGGAAUUCCGCGUGUAGCAGUGAAAUGCGUAGAGAUGCGGAGGAACACCGAUGGCGAAGGCAGCCCCCCUGGGCCAACACUGACGCUCAGGCACGAAAGCGUGGGGAGCAAACAGG